AUGGCCGGAGAAGAAGAAGAGCCGAAAAUCCCAGUGUUCACAGUCCUCAAGAACGGAGCGAUUCUCAAGAACAUGUUCAUCGUGAAGCCACCGCCACACUCUCAACCAAUCGCCUCCGAAGAAAUGUUGAUGGUGGGGCGCCACCCCGACUGCCACAUCGUGCUGACUCACCCCAGCGUCAGCCGAUUCCACCUCCAAAUCCUCUCCGAUCCUUCCUCGCGCAAGCUCUCUCUCACCGAUUUAUCAUCCGUGCACGGGACUUGGAUCUCGGACAAGAGGAUUGAGCCAGGGGUUCGAGUUGAGCUGAGGCAAGGCGACACGCUCAGGGUUGGUGCUUCUAGCCGGCUCUAUAGGCUUCACUGGAUCCCACUCAGCCACGCCUAUCAAGACUCACUCAGGCUUCUGAAUUCUUCUGCAAUGGAGUCUUUGUUCUCUGAUGAGCCUCAAGGAGGAGAUCACAGUGUUGACAACUCUGAGGCUGUGAAUAUGUUGCCAAUUGAAAACGCCGAAUUUGAAUCUACUGAAUCCAUUUCUGAGGUUACAGAAUCUCUAGUCUGUGAUGAUAAUUUGGGAUUUAUUGGGAGGAAGGAGAUCCCAUCAGCUCCUCCACUAUGUGAACAUGGUGGCCAGAACUCAUCUAAAGUUGUUGGCCAAGAGAACGAAUUGUCAACCUUCUGGGCCUUUGGAACUGAAUCGGUGAACCUGUUUUAUCCUCUUGAAUACUCUACUUCUAAUUCAGAGGAACACCAGUACCUGCAACUUAACUGUGUCACAGGAGGUUCUGAACUAGAUAAGAUCCCAGAGAGUUCUUCUUCGCAUGAAAAAGGAGAAUCUUCUCCUAUUGUUCAAGUGUUGGAAAAAGACCAGGGACAGAGUGAUAUAUCUGCUCUUCUUUCAGCUGGACCUUUUGUGAGACAGAAUUCAUCCUUGCUGGAGACCAAAUAUCAACAAGUCGAAGAAGAUAGCAUGAGCCUCGAAACAAAUUCAGACUUGCUGGUUAAUCUGGAUGGCAAAAGCUCUACAACGAAAGACCAUGGACAGACUGAUCAAUUGUGUCUAUCUUCUGAACCUCUUCAAUAUUUUGAUGAGAAGGAAGAGGAUGCCUGUCCUGCUGCACAAAUAUCUGGGAGAACUGACGGUCAGAGCUCUUUGAGCAAAGACCAUGGACAGACUGAUACUGACUUUUGUCUUUCAUAUGGACCUUCUGUGAUGGAGAACUCAUCUUUGCUGGUUGGGGAGAUCAACAAUCAACCAGAUGAAGAGGAAAACACAGCACAUAAACCAACCUUGUUGGUUAAUCUGGAUCCUGAGAAUACUAAUGAAAUCAGAUGUCUUAUUGAUGAAAGACAUGCAGAAACUGAAAAGAGAAGUGUGUCACCCAAAAACCACCAUGAAGAGAGGGAUAUCAAGACCAUCUCCUCUGUGCCUCCUGUCGAAGAUUCUACCGACUCAUUUUCACCAGAUGGGGUUCUCUCAGAGACAAUAGAUAACAAAGAGAAUCAGACUCUGCUAUCUAUCUGUGUUGUAGUAGGACAGCCUGAAUCAGAAUUCUGUAAAAGCCCUCCCCUGACAUCCGAAGAUAAGUCAAUCUUUGGAGAAAACAUUUGGGCAAGAAGAGGUAAACCUGCUUGUGCUGUUCGUAUUCAAACAGAGAGAAGUAGAGAAAGAUCAACUGUGGAGGCAGGAAUUGAGAAGAAUUUUGAUCUGGAGGUGGAAAUCUUUACUCCAGACAAGGAGAAUCUAACACCAAAUACAAAUACCCUUCGUCUGAGAUCUUUGAAAAAGAAGAACGAGGUAGAAGUUAAGCUAGAUGAUAGUCAAGAGGAGCAGGAAAUCUUUAAUCCUGACAAGGAAAACUUUACACCAAAUACUCUUCAACUGAGGUCCUUGAGGAAGAAGGGUAAGCUAGAAUUAACCAAUUCCAAAUCCCACAGAUCGUCUGUGUCGAAGCAAAACUUAAUCUCCAAUAUCCCUAAAGAAGAUCUGCUGGUGUGCCCAGGAAAAGAUAACCAGAAACUGAAGGAUCUCCAAGGAAGACAAUCAGUAGAAACUAUUGCCAGGAAUCAAGCAAUGCUGGAAAAAGAGUUGAUGCUAACAAAAUUAGGCACGGAAAGGAUGCCAUUCCAAUCAUUAAAAACUUCUGCAGUCAAGAACAGCAGUUCAGAAGCUUCAGUCUCUGAUGUAGCUACUAAAAGCAGCACAUCUCUCACUUGUAGUCGAACAAAGGAGCAGGUCAAGAAUGCACUCUCUAAUAAAUUUAUUGGAGAAGGAAAGAAGGGUUGGACUAUGGUUGCAGACACUAAUACUCUGCUUAACAAGGAAUCAAGGAAAGCAUUGCAACUUCUACAAGGUCUUAAGGGGACUCAUUUGAUCAUUCCAAGAAUGGUUAUACGGGAACUGGAUUGCUUGAAACAGUGUGGCAGCCUGUUUACAAAGAAAACAGAGGCUUGUUUGGUUCUGGAAUGGAUUGAAGAGUGUAUGGUAAAAACAAAUUGGUGGAUCCAUAUCCAGAGCUCACUGGAAGAUGGAAGGCUGAUGGCUCCAACCCCUCCUGCUUCUCCGCGGUCUCUAUUUAGUGAGAACGGUUUGGAACUUACUUCUGGAACAACAAGCUCGUUUCCCUUCCUCAGGCGUUGGAGCUCUAUGGAACUCGUUUCGCCAGCAGCAGAAGAUCAUAUACUUGAUUGUGCUCUUUCCCGUAGGAAGAGGAGCAAUGAGCAAUUUGUCCUUCUAAGUAAUGAUAUCACCAUGAAGAUCAAAGCCAUGGCAGAGGGUUUGAUUUGUGAGACAGCUCAGGAGUUCCAUGAGAGUCUAGUGACCCCAUCUUCGGAGAGGUUUAUGUGGGCUGGUAGCUGUCCCCGCGGGCGUACUUGGUCCUACUUAAAUGAUGUACUUUUGGCGGGGAAGUAUGAUCACUGCCAACUGAAGAAGUCAUCAAAGGGAGAAGGUGCAAAAGGUCUGAAGCUCAUUUUGCUCCACAGUUCUCAUUAUGGGCAGAUCCAUUAGAUCAGCUAAAACUCUUUAGCCUGUACUGCAAUAGGUCGACUGCUGUGCGGAUUUAUCCAGUUGAAUGACAACAGUGGUGCAACAGAUGAUACAGAAGUGAGCUCUGAUGGCGUUCGAUUACUUGGAUUAUAA